rnacentral:lncRNA from 1 species
UCUUUUGGUUUCUGCUUAUCUUGGAAGGUCUUUAUACUUCUUCAAUUCUGAGUAAUAAUUUUUCUAGACAUAGCAAUCUUGGAUGACAGUUAUUCUUUCAGGUUUAGAAUACAUUAUUCAAAGUCCUCUUGAAUUUUAGAGUUUGUGCUAAAAAAUCAGAAGUAAUCAUGAUUGGCAUGACUCUAUAUGUGAUCUAACAUUUUUUUUCCUCUUAAGACUAUUGAAAGUUUGUCCUGUUCUUUAUGUUAGGUCAUUUUAUUUUAUUUUUACUAGGGACUGAAACCAGGGGUGCUUUACCAUUGAGUUACAUUCCCAGCCCCUUUCUUUUAAAAUAAAAUUUUAACUUUAGAUAGGCUCUUGCUAAGAUACAUAUGGCCUUGUUAAGUUGCUGAGGCUGGCUUUAAACUAGUGACCCUCCUGCCUCAGACUCCUGAGUCACUGGAACUACAAGUACAUGCCACCUGUCAAGCUAUUUGUUAGGCGUUUUAAGUGUAAUGUGUUAGGAGAGGUUCUUUUUGAUCUUCACUAUUUGGGGUUCUGAAUCCUCCCUGUAUUUGGCUGCAUAUCUUACUUAAAGGUUUGGAACAUCUUCUUUUAUUAUUUCCUUGAAGCAGUCAUCCAUUCCCCUAGUCUGCUUCUCAUAACCCUCUUUGACUCCAGUGAUUCUUAAAUUUGGUCUCUUAAUGUUGUCACAAAGGUCUUGCAUAUUCUGAUCAGGGCACCUUUUUUUUUUUCUUCUUUUCUUUAGUACUGUCUGAAUGUCCAAGACUGGGCUCUUUAUCUUCCAGCUCUGAGAUUCUGUCUUCAGAAUGAUCUAC